GACGAACGCUGGCGGCGUGCCUAAUACAUGCAAGUAGAACGCUGAAGGAGGAGCUUGCUCUUCUGGAUGAGUUGCGAACGGGUGAGUAACGCGUAGGUAACCUGCCUGGUAGCGGGGGAUAACUAUUGGAAACGAUAGCUAAUACCGCAUAAGAGUAGAUGUUGCAUGACAUUUGCUUAAAAGGUGCAAUUGCAUCACUACCAGAUGGACCUGCGUUGUAUUAGCUAGUUGGUGGGGUAACGGCUCACCAAGGCGACGAUACAUAGCCGACCUGAGAGGGGGAUCGGCCACACUGGGACCGAGACACGGCCCCGACUCCUACGGGAGGCAGCAGUAGGGGAUCUUCGGCAAUGGACGGAAGGCUGACCGAGCAACGCCGCGGGAGUGAAGAAGGUUUUCGGAUCGUAAAGCUCUGUUGUAAGAGAAGAACGAGUGUGAGAGUGGAAAGUUCACACUGUGACGGUAUCUUACCAGAAAGGGACGGCUAACUACGUG
rnacentral:rRNA from 1 species